GAGCGCCCCGCAAGGGGAGCGGCAGACGGGAGAGUAACACGUGGGAACGUACCCUUCAGUUCGGAACAACCCAGGGAAACUUGGGCUAAUACCGAAUACGUCCGUAAGGAGAAAGAUUUAUCGCUGAAGGAUCGGCCCGCGUCUGAUUAGCUAGUUGGUGAGGUAACGGCUCACCAAGGCUACGAUCAGUAGCUGGUCUGAGAGGAUGAUCAGCCUCACUGGGACUGAGACACGGCCCAGACUCCUACGGGAGGCAGCAGUGGGGAAUAUUGGACAAUGGGCGCAAGCCUGAUCCAGCCAUGCCGCGUGGAUGAUGAAGGCCCUAGGGUUGUAAAGCUCUUUCGGCGGGGACGAUGAUGACGGUACCCGCAGAAGAAGCCCCGGCUAACUUCGUGCCAGCAGCCGCGGUAAUACGAAGGGGGCGAGCGUUGUUCGGAAUUACUGGGCGUAAAGGGCGCG
rnacentral:rRNA from 1 species